rnacentral:misc_RNA from 1 species
UAGACCUUAUAUAUUGAGAUUAUGUAAGGAAUCCAAUGCAUCA